GGGAGAAGUGAGUAUGAGUGUGAGUAUGUCUGCAGUGGGAUUGGAUGUAAAAAUAGUUUUUGCCCUACAAGCAAAAGAGCAGCUUCAUUUUUCCCGGUAAAGGGGCCGGUAAUGACAGAUUACAGGGGCCUGUAAAGACACGCUGGGACCCUGUCGGCUGCCACGUCAGGAGAGACGGCCCGUGACUCAACACUGCCCUCUAGUGGCUACGCUCUCAGUAACCACUAUUUUAACCUAUACCUACAGGGACCUACUCAUCCCCAGGCGGUUGGCUCGGGCACAAUUUGACCCUUUUACCACAUCGUUAAAAUUAACUUCCUGUUCCUGUCGGUUUAACAUGAUGUAGGUUUUGCUCAUUGCCGACAUAUAUUUACUAGAUGAGUUGUGGCUGUACUGCUGCACUGCCGUACCUGAAUCGAGCAGACCCACAGUCAAAUUUUAUGAGCUACACUUCUGUUUUUCAGACUGUGAAAUGGGCCCUUUAGUCCAUCAGAGAGUCUCGCGAAACUAUUGUACUUACUAAAAAUAAAAGAAUGAAAUCAUUGGGAACUUUCUCUUUUC